rnacentral:rRNA from 1 species
UACGGAGGGUGCAAGCGUUAUCCGGAUUCACUGGGUUUAAAGGGUGCGUAGGCGGGUUAGUAAGUCAGUGGUGAAAUCCCCGAGCUUAACUUGGGAACUGCCGUUGAUACUAUUAGUCUUGAAUAUCGUGGAGGUAAGCGGAAUAUGUCAUGUAGCGGUGAAAUGCUUAGAUAUGACAUAGAACACCAAUUGCGAAGGCAGCUUGCUACACGAUUAUUGACGCUGAGGCACGAAAGCGUGGGGAGCAAACAGG